rnacentral:rRNA from 1 species
AGUGAACGCUGGCGGUAGGCCUAACACAUGCAAGUCGAACGGCAGCACAGGAGAGCUUGCUCUCUGGGUGGCGAGUGGCGGACGGGUGAGGAAUACAUCGGAAUCUACUCUGUCGUGGGGGAUAACGUAGGGAAACUUACGCUAAUACCGCAUACGACCUACGGGUGAAAGCAGGGGAUCUUCGGACCUUGCGCGAUUGAAUGAGCCGAUGUCGGAUUAGCUAGUUGGCGGGGUAAAGGCCCACCAAGGCGACGAUCCGUAGCUGGUCUGAGGGGAUGAGCAGCCACACUGGAACUGAGACACGGUCCAGACUCCUACGGGAGGAAGCAGUGGGGAAUAUUGGACAAUGGGCGCAAGCCUGAUCCAGCCAUACCGCGUGGGUGAAGAAGGCCUUCGGGUUGUAAAGCCCUUUUGUUGGGAAAGAAAUCCAGCUGGCUAAUACCCGGUUGGGAUGACGGUACCCAAAGAAUAAGCACCGGCUAACUUCGUGCCAGCCGCCGCAGUAA